GUGCGCAGCCCCUUUGCCAAGAGCAUUGGCUGAUUUAUUUUUAGCUUCUUUUUUUUAUUGCACAACACCCAACUACUUGUAUUAAAUGCCAACCUAACCUACCCUAACCCUUCCCUAUAAAUACCAAGCCAUUCCCAAGCUUAAAUCACUAUGCAAACUCAUCCAAAUCACUCUCAAAUCAUCUAAAACGCAGCUGAGUUUCCAGAUUCGAGCAGAUUGCUACCUCUUCACUAAAAAGGACAAGGUGCUCCAAACUAAAUAACCAACACCACUCGCGGGAUUCAAGUAGGAAGGCUUGCAAAAACCAUGAGCAUACUCGAUCCCUUUUUCCUUUUAAUCACUUUGGGUGAACAUGUGAUUUACUGUGAACAAGGAAUAGUGCCGCGUAGCACUCCAGCUUGAAUGAAGUGGCUCAGUAAAUAAAUAAACCUGUUUAUUUUUGUAAUCAGGGGAUCUCCCAGUGAAAUACCUCUAUUGUAAAAUAAGGAGUUUGUCCCGAUAUUAUAAUAAGAUAAUCAAGUUAUU
rnacentral:lncRNA from 1 species